rnacentral:rRNA from 1 species
UACGGAGGGGGUUAGCGUUGUUCGGAAUGACUGGGCGUAAAGCGCGCGUAGGCGGGCUGGUAAGUUGGGGGUGAAAUCCCGGGGCUCAACCCCGGAAUGGCCUUCAAAACUCCCAGCCUAGAGUUCGAGAGAGGUGAGUGGAAUUCCGAGUGUAGAGGUGAAAUUCGUAGAUAUUCGGAGGAACACCAGUGGCGAAGGCGGCUCACUGGCUCGACACUGACGCUGAGGUGCGAAAGCGUGGGGAGCAAACAGG